UAGGGAUGAAAAGAGUUGAGAUAGGCCUAUAGAAGCUAGAGUAUAAUAAGAGAGGGUGUACUAAUGCUGAAUGUAAAUGUUGAUUUGAGUGCUUUGUGUGUUUCUUUUGGCUAUGAGCUCCCACCUUCAAACCUCUCUCCCUAUGAGUUCUAGAAAGUUCACUUGAGGACAAGUCAAAGAAUAAGUUUGGAGGAGUUGAUAUCUUGCAUAUUCACAUUGCUUUAUCCAUUUAUUCAUGUGCAUUUUCAUCAUAU
rnacentral:lncRNA from 1 species